rnacentral:rRNA from 1 species
AUAUCAGUCAUGCAUAGCAUAUCAAUAAGCGGAGGAAAAGAAACUAACAAGGAUUCCCCUAGUAACGGCGAGUGAAGCGGGAAGAGCUCAAAUUUGAAAUCUUAAAGGGUUUCCCUUUACGAAUUGUAGUUUAAAGAAGUGUUUUCUGUUAGAGUUUCGGUAAAAGUUCUUUGGAAUAGGACAUCAUAGAGGGUGAGAAUCCCGUAUUUGACCGUUAUUUCUAGCUUUGUGAUACACUUUCAAAGAGUCGGAUUGUUUGGGAAUGCAGUCCAAAAUGGGUGGUAAAUUUCAUCUAAAGCUAAAUAUUGGCGAGAGACCGAUAGCGAACAAGUACCGUGAGGGAAAGAUGAAAAGAACUUUGAAAAGAGAGUUAAACAGUACGUGAAAUUGUCAAAAGGGAAGCGUUUGACACCAGUGUUGUUUAAUUGAAAAUCAAUUAACUAAUUCUUGAUUUUAAAUAGUAUUGACUUUAUCAGCUUUGCUAUUUUCUUUUCGGAAAUUAUUUAAUGCACUUCUCAGUUAACAAGUCAACAUCAAUUUCUUUUGUUGUAAAAAGGUAAGAGGAAGGUGGCUUAUGCUUCGGUAUAAGUGUUUAUAGCCUUUUACCUCUGCAAUCGGGAGAGAUUGAGGUCUGCAGCGUAGAUCCUUCGGGGUUAGAUACAUUUGUACUAAGUUAUAGUAUUUUAUAGACAACUUGUUGACUAUGAUUUAUCACGUAGCUUACUCGCUUAUGCUAUUUUACCUACGCUUAGGAUGUUGACGAUCAGCUGAGCGCG